UGAAGAGUACUUAAAAGAUCCCAUUGAAUACAUAUGGCAUUAUUCCUGGUUUUAUGGAUACUGUCUCAGUUAAAUGAAUCCUGCAGAAAACACUUAGCGAUUAAUUUAUCUAGAAACUGAUAGCACUAAAAAUAUUAAAAUUAAUGCAUUCUAAUGGUUUAUGUGUGUGUGCAUGUGUGAUUUCUGCUUUGCCUACUUUACUAUCUUAAUGAUUAUCCUUUCUUACUGUUUCCUCUGAUGAUCUUACCUUACUUCAACAGACCUAAUCACUCAAAGCUUUUCUUGUCAGCCCUUUUCACACAUCGUAUUCUAGUUUUCACAUAUUUUCAAUAAUGCCUUUUAUUUUGGACAAGGGCUUUGGCAAAAAAACUAAAGUACACUAAAGUAAAGCUGUACUCUGUCCCAAUGCUACUCACAACCUGCCAGAACUUUCAUGCUUCAAAUCACAGGCUAGGGACAUUGGCUUGUCAGGAGUCCCCCUCCAUGCUCCUGUGAUGAGCUGGAGCUUCCAGGUGCUUCUGCUACAAGGCGAGGUGUAGGUACAAUUUAUUCUGCCUAUUAUUGUGCACUGACUAUGAAAUUUAAUUGUCCUUUUCUUGUUUCAGCUAGCAAAGGAUGUAAAAAUUCCAAAUAGAUUUUCAUCAAAAUCAGAAGUAUUUAUUACCUAUGAACAACUUCAAAUAUUUUCAGUCCUUCCUAUUCAGCUACCCAACAUUUCAAUCUCCCUUCUUAAUUAGUACCCGGUUUCCUUUCUUCAUUAAUACCUUAUCCUUUAAAGCUCAGUUACACAUUUACAGUCUCUCUUGCUUGUUUACUUUGAGGCAUUUCUGUAGAUGUAGCUCACUACUGUUUAUGUUUACUAGAAUGACAGCCACAGAGCACAAUGGGAGUUGACUUCCUAAAAUAGUUUAAUGUCUUACUGUCCUAAAAAUAUGAUUUUAAGAUAAAACUUAUUUUUGAACCUUAACUUUGAGUAAAUAUUAUGAAGGAAAAAAUGAAUUCUUAAAAGAUUUGAUUCUACAUGCUACUUAAAUGAGAAAAUUUUCUGAAAUUCAAACAUAGCAAGCUCCAUUUGCUCAGCGAUGAGGUCCUUGCACAAAGUUCCCCAAGGCCUUUUUGGUGUACAAAUUUAUAAUAAUGAAAACUACGUCUAAGGAAAUAAUUUGACAUAAAAGUUUGUUUUCUCUUUAAACUACUGCAUUUAAAAAGUCAUUCGAGUUGUAAACACUCAAGGAUAAGCCAGUUUUAGGAUCACAUUAUUGUGUCACAGUAACAGAAAUAUGAAUCACAUUUAUUUCUUUAAUGCAUGGAUUUAGGUUCUCCUAAAUUCUCAUUAUUGAGCUACUACACUCUUGCUAUAAGUUGUUAGGAAAAUCCAAAUCGUCAUUCCCGGCACCAAGGUGCCAAGAAAUAAUGUGCUAUCAUGAAAUCACACAUAGUCAGCUGCUUAUGUAUUUUGGUUAACCAGGUAGUUUGAAAAUUAUUAUUCCACUAGCACUGUCUUCAGAUUUUAGAAGCAGAACU
rnacentral:lncRNA from 1 species